rnacentral:pre_miRNA from 1 species
GAUUUUAACUAAAAAAGUCAUCAACAACAAAGUUGUAUAACUCAUCAAGAUCUAUAACUUUUAUUUCGGUCAUUUCUACAUCCGACAAAGUGACAGUAACAUUGUUCACAAAAUUUACAUAUCUCUCAUUUGUUUUUAUAAACUAUAAUAGAGAGAUUUAAAUUUUGUGAACAAUGUUACUAUCACUUUGUUGGAUGAAGAAAUGACCAAAAUAAAAGUUGAAUGUCUUGAUGAGUUCUACAACUUUUAUGUUCAUGACAUUUUCAGCUGAAUUU